rnacentral:rRNA from 1 species
AGCGAACGCUGGCGGCAGGCCUAACACAUGCAAGUCGAACGAACCUUUCGGGGUUAGUGGCGGACGGGUGAGUAACACGUGGGAACGUGCCUUUAGGUUCGGAAUAACUCAGGGAAACUUGUGCUAAUACCGAAUGUGCCCUUCGGGGGAAAGAUUAAUCGCCUUUAGAGCGGCCCGCGUCUGAUUAGCUAGUUGGUUGAGGUAAUGGCUCACCAAGGCGACGAUCAGUAGCUGGUCUGAGAGGAUGAUCAGCCACAUUGGGACUGAGACACGGCCCAAACUCCUACGGGAGGCAGCAGUGGGGGAUCUUGCGCAAUGGGCGAAAGCCUGACGCAGCCAUGCCGCGUGAAUGAUGAAGGUCUUAGGAUUGUAAAAUUCUUUCACCGGGGACGAUAAUGACGGUACCCGGAGAAGAAGCCCCGGCUAACUUCGUG